rnacentral:rRNA from 1 species
CCUACGGGUGGCAGCAGUGAGGAAUAUUGGUCAAUGGACGCAAGUCUGAACCAGCCAUGCCGCGUGCAGGAAGACGGCUCUAUGAGUUGUAAACUGCUUUUGUACGAGGGUAAAUCCCGAUACGUGUAUCGGGUUGAAAGUAUCGUACGAAUAAGGAUCGGCUAACUCCGUGCCAGCAGCCGCGGUAAUACGGAGGAUUCAAGCGUUAUCCGGAUUUAUUGGGUUUAAAGGGUGCGCAGGCGGGCUGUUAAGCCGGCGGUAAAAAUUCAGGGCUCAACCCUGUCGAGCCGUCGGAACUGGCAGCCUUGAGUGGGCGAGAAGUAUGCGGAAUGCGUGGUGUAGCGGUGAAAUGCAUAGAUAUCACGCAGAACGCCGAUUGCGAAGGCAGCAUACCGGCGCCCGACUGACGCUGAGGCACGAAAGCGUGGGGAUCGAACAGGAUUAGAUACCCGAGUAGUC